UGGGGAAUAUUGCCCAAUGGGGGAAACCCUGAUGCAGCAACGCCGCGUGAGUGAUGACGGUUUUCGGAUUGUAAAGCUCUUUCUUCAGGGACGAUAAUGACGGUACCUGAGGAGGAAGCCCCGGCUAACUACGUGCCAGCAGCCGCGGUAAUACGUAGGUGGCAAGCGUUGUCCGGAUUUACUGGGCGUAAAGGGAGCGUAGGUGGAUAUUUAAGUGGGAUGUGAAAUACUCGGGCUUAACCUGGGUGCUCCAUUCCAAACUGGAUUUUUAGAGUGCAGGAGAGGAAAGUAGAAUUCCUAGGGUAGCGGUGAAAUGGGUAGAGAUUAGGAAGAAUCCCAGUGGGGAAGGCGACUUUUUGGACUGUAACUGACAUUGAGGCUGGAAAGCGUGGGGAGCAACCAGGAUUAGAUACCCUGGUAGUCCACCCCGUAAACGAUGAUUACUAGGUUAGUCGUUUC
rnacentral:rRNA from 1 species